ensembl:lncRNA
UCGGACCUUGUUGGCUCAUUUGUUUAGGAUUUGAACUGUGGAAAAUAGCUAACUUAAGUAACAAAACAUAAAAUGGAAUGUAGAUAUGUCUGCCACUCAGAUGAAAGAAAAGCUAUACAUAAAAAAAAAAAUUAUGAGCCUUUGAGAAACGUCGUUAGUAGAGUAAUUGAACAGCAGAAUGACAAGAUGGAUAGAUCUGACGUUACAUUGAUAGGAGCAGCAUCGCAGCUUCAAGCGAAGGGGGGAAUACAUUUAUGAUCCAGGUCCAACAGCAGCAACCAGUGAAGUUUUGUCCACAGGAGGUUGUGAUAUGCUGAAAAAACUGGCUACUAAGGUCAAUGCGGUUGGGAAAGGCAUGGAGCAAUGUGCAACAACCACGCGGAGAGCGAUAAGCGGGAUUUCCGCUCUGGUCAACUCUAUGCACAUACUCUUGGAGAACGAGGAAAGAAAAAGGUGCAGUGGUCUCUUAAUGUUUUCCGGAGCUGUAUGUAGUGUGAAGACAUAAUAAGCUGGAAAAACAAUUGAAGGCCAUGACUACCCUUAUGAAGCAAUCCCAAACCUCAGCACAGCAAUUGGGAUACCAAGUGAGCAAGCUUUUCAACAUUUCAAAACUUCUGAUUACUUGAAUUACAUAAUUUCUUCAACCUUUUUUGUAAGUGAUUCCUGAAACUACAGAAUGUUUCCAUGUGUCUGACCCUCUGUUUCCAGUAAUGGCUUUGUAUUCAUAAAACACAAUUGGGGCUGAUGGUUUGAACAAAGUCAAGUGAAUAGUUUAUUACCACAGGGAAGAUUACAUAUGCUUUGAUCAUUCUUUUACGCAACAGCAAAAUGCAUGCACACACAUGCAAGCAAACACAGACACACAAUAUGACUUCUUGACCUUGGAUGUUCUCUCACAGCUCGGAGGCCUUGUAAGUCUUGUCUGAAUUGGAGAACAAGUUCAGACUCCCUGUGCACAAGGGCCUCAUUUGGCAUUCAGCACCCUACUGAUGUGUUGGCUAAGCACAGAUCCUAAUUGCGUCGGCCAUUUUGUACCACUUGUUGUUUUCCCUUUGAUGUGAUCGUUAACAUGGAGGGAUGCAGGGAGUCCACACUCUGGGGUGCCUGCCAAUGUCAAGGGGCCAGGUAAACACAUCUGACUCACCUAUGAUGCUGUAGUAGUGGCAUCAAGGUAUAACUCAUUGUGAUAUGGUGCGUCUCUAUGAUCACAGGUGGACGGCUAAAAAUAGACAGAUUUCUGCAAGGUGUUUGACGUUUGGAACGUCACGGUGUAGACUGCAAAUAGAUCAGUAACACGUCAACACUUUAAUUUAGAGUGAGAGUCACUCUUUAUUUCCAAAAGACAAAAAUAGAAUCAGAUCAUUCUUAAAAAGAACAUUUUUAAAAAUAGACGCAGAAAAAUGAAAAGUAGAAAUUUCUUACCAUCAUUAAUCUGCCUCUAUGUGGUUAUUCCGAGUGCACCAUUGUGCAUUAACAACCACACACUAUGCAAUUAGUCCAAGGCGAGGUGCAAUCUUAAAAGCGAAUGCAACACAUAGCUUACUCUCAAUACUCCUUUACCAGAGCUAUAUUGAUUUAUAUUAGCAACAGCCUAAUUAACAUUUAAUCUAGUCAUACAUUUUAGAGUGAGUCGGAAAGUCACUUAAUGUGGGAAUCUGUUAAAAAAGAACCGUAUAAUUCACUGCUCGCACAGAUACCAAUUACGUGCAAACAGAUUUCUUCUAUGAAUGCUUAAAAAUGUUGUCAUGAUGAGAUAUUACUGACGCUACUCGUGUCCAUAGGCACUCAGCAACAUUUAUGCAUGAACAAAUUUAAUCUGAAUUAGAACAGCAGGUA